ACCAGACUCCUACGGGAGGCAGCAGUGGGGAAUAUUGCACAAUGGGCGCAAGCCUGAUGCAGCCAUGCCGCGUGUAUGAAGAAGGCCUUCGGGUUGUAAAGUACUUUCAGCGGGGAGGAAGGUGUUGAGGUUAAUAACCUCAGCAAUUGACGUUACCCGCAGAAGAAGCACCGGCUAACUCCGUGCCAGCAGCCGCGGUAAUACGGAGGGUGCAAGCGUUAAUCGGAAUUACUGGGCGUAAAGCGCACGCAGGCGGUCUGUCAAGUCGGAUGUGAAAUCCCCGGGCUCAACCUGGGAACUGCAUUCGAAACUGGCAGGCUGGAGUCUUGUAGAGGGGGGUAGAAUUCCAGGUGUAGCGGUGAAAUGCGUAGAGAUCUGGAGGAAUACCGGUGGCGAAGGCGGCCCCCUGGGACGCAACUGACGCUCAUACACGAAAGCGUGGGGAGCAAACAGGAUUAGAUACCCUCGUA
rnacentral:rRNA from 1 species